rnacentral:misc_RNA from 1 species
GAAAUGCGAUAAGUAGUGUGAAUUGCAGAAUUCAGUGAAUCAUCGAAUCUUUGAACGCACAUUGCGCCCUUUGGUAUUCCAAAGGGCAUGCCUGUUCGAGCGUCAUUUGUACCCUCAAGCUUGCUUGGUGUUGGGCGUCUUGUCUCUAGCUUUGCUGGAGACUCGCCUUAAAGUAAUUGGCAGCCGGCCUACUGGUUUCGGAGCGCAGCACAAGUCGCACUCUCUAUCAGCAAAGGUCUAGCAUCCAUUAAGCCUUUUUUCAACUUUUGACCUCGGAUCAGGUAGGGAUACCCGCUGAACUUAAGC